CCCUUUGGGGUGUGACUGCGUACCUUUUGUAUAAUGGGUCAGCGACUUAUAUUCUGUAGCAAGGUUAACCGAAUAGGGGAGCCGGAGGGAAACCGAGUCUUAAUUGGGCGUUAAGUUGCAGGGUAUAGACCCGAAACCCGGUGAUCUAGCCAUGGGCAGGUUGAAGGUUGGGUAACACUAACUGGAGGACCGAACCGACUAAUGUUGAAAAAUUAGCGGAUGACCUGUGGCUGGGGGUGAAAGGCCAAUCAAACCGGGAGAUAGCUGGUUCUCCCCGAAAGCUAUUUAGGUAGCGCCUCGUGAAUUCAUCUCCGGGGGUAGAGCACUGUUUCGGCUAGGGGGCCAUCCCGGCUUACCAACCCGAUGCAAACUGCGAAUACCGGAGAAUGUUAUCACGGGAGACACACGGCGGGUGCUAACGUCCGUCGUGAAGAGGGAAACAACCCAGACCGCCAGCUAAGGUCCCAAAGUCAUGGUUAAGUGGGAAACGAUGUGGGAAGGCCCAGACAGCCAGGAUGUUGGCUUAGAAGCAGCCAUCAUUUAAAGAAAGCGUAAUAGCUCACUGGUCGAGUCGGCCUGCGCGGAAGAUGUAACGGGGCUAAACCAUGCACCGAAGCUGCGGCAGCGACGCUGAUGCGUUGUUGGGUAGGGGAGCGUUCUGUAAGCCUGCGAAGGUGGCCUGUGAGGGUUGCUGGAGGUAUCAGAAGUGCGAAUGCUGACAUAAGUAACGAUAAAGCGGGUGAAAAGCCCGCUCGCCGGAAGACCAAGGGUUCCUGUCCAACGUUAAUCGGGGCAGGGUGAGUCGACCCCUAAGGCGAGGCCGAAAGGCGUAGUCGAUGGGAAACGGGUUAAUAUUCCCGUACUUGGUGUUACUGCGAAGGGGGGACGGAGAAGGCUAUGUUGGCCGGGCGACGGUUGUCCCGGUUUAAGCGUGUAGGUGUGUGUUCCAGGUAAAUCCGGUUCACUUUAACACUGAGGCGUGAUGACGAGGCACUACGGUGCUGAAGCAACAAAUGCCCUGCUUCCAGGAAAAGCCUCUAAGCAUCAGGUAACAUCAAAUCGUACCCCAAACCGACACAGGUGGUCAGGUAGAGAAUACCAAGGCGCUUGAGAGAACUCGGGUGAAGGA
rnacentral:rRNA from 1 species